rnacentral:rRNA from 1 species
UUAUAGGCAAAUGGUGGAUGCCUUGGGACCAGACGCGAUGAAGGACGUGGCGUAGCUGCGAUAAGCCUCGGGAAGGUGUUAGCAACCUGUGAACCGGGGAUUUCCGAAUGGGGAAACCUAAUUUCGUUUAAACGAAAUUGUCGAAGUUAAAUUCGAUGCGAACCCGCUGAAGUGAAACAUCUCAGUAGGCGGAGGAAAAGAAAACAAAAGUGAUUCCCUAAGUAGCGGCGAGCGAAAGGGGAGAAGCCCAAAAUCAUUCGCGCUUUGCGUGAAUAGUGGUUGUAAGGGGAUAACGUCUAUUCAGUUAGAGGGAGUUAUAAAUAAUUUAAUUAGCUGAACUUCUCUGGAAAGAGAGACCAAAGACGGUGAUAGUCCGGUAAGUGAAAAUUAAAUUAUGCUCCUUGUUAUCUUUCUUGAGUACUGUCGAGUCAAGACAAUUCGGCAGGAAUCUAGCGGGACUACCCGCUAAGGCUAAAUACAAUCUGGUCACCGAUAGUGAACUAGUACCGUGAGGGAAAGGUGAAAAGUAGUCCGGUGAGGACGGUGAAAUAGAACCUGAAACCAUUAUGCCUACAAGGAGUCAGAGCUGAUAUUUAUAUCAGUGAUGGCGUGCUUUUUGCAGAACGAGCCAACGAGUCUCUUUUAUCAAUUUGUCUAAGCGCUUACGGCGUGGAGGCAUAGGGAAACCAAGUCUUAAUAGGGCGAAUAUGAUUGAUGGAAGAGGACCCGAAGCCAGACGAGCUUGCCAUGACCAGGGUGAAACUUUCAGAAAUGAAAGUGGAGGCCCGAACCCGUUUGUCGUGCAAUUCAUUGGGAUGAGUUGUGGCAAGGAGUGAAAAGCUAAUCGAGUUUGGUAAUAGCUGGUUCUUCCCGAAAUAGUUUUAGGACUAGCCUCUCUGAUUAGUAUUUUGGAGGUAGAGCACUGAAAGGGUUGCUGCGGCUUCGGCUAGGCAUCUCUAUCAAACUCCGAAUGCCAAAAUAUAUACAGAGGGAGUCAGACAGUGGGAGCGAAGUUCCAUUGUCGCGAGGGAAACAGCCCAGAUCGUCAUCUAAGGUCCCUAAAUCUAAACUAAGUGUUAGUAAGGAGGUGAAAUUUCUCAGAUAGCUAGGAGGUUAGCUUAGAAGCAGCUAUCCUUUAAAAAGUGCGUAACAGCUUACUAGUUAAGAGAUUUUGCGCCGAAGAUUUCCGGGACUCAAGUUUAGUACCGAAGAUACGACUUGGUAUUUUUAAUACCAGGGGUAGGGAAGCGUUCUUAUUGCACUGAAGCUAAACCGUGAGGUUUGGUGGAGCGAUGAGAAGUGAGAAUGUUGGCAUAAGUAACCACAAUUGAAGUGAGAUUCUUCAACACCGUAAAUCCAAGGUUUCCUUGGCAAUGUAGAUCAACCAAGGGUUAGGCGGGCCUUAGGANNNNNNNNNNNNNNCUUGAGCGGAUUAUUGGAUUUCCGUCGACUAUUUAAGGGGCAACCCAAGAAUAGGAGCGUAGCUUAUCCUCGGAUAAGUUAAGUCAAGUGAGCAAGUCGACAAGAAAAGCCCGCAAGGUUAAAAAUGUUAGAUCCGUACUAAAACCGACACAGGUGGAUGGGCACAAGUGUGCCAAGGUGAACAAGUGAAAGAUCCUGAAGGAACUCGGCAAAAAAGUGAUCGUAACUUAGGAAUAAGAUCCGCCUUUCUUUGCAAAAAGAAAGGCCACAGCAAGCGUUUCUCUAGCGACUGUUUAUCAAAAACACAGGUCCCUGCUAAUUCGUAAGAGGAAGUAUAGGGGCUGAGGCCUGACCAGUGCUGGAGUGUUAAAAGUGGCGGUUGCCUCGCUCUUGUUUCAUAAAACGAUCCUGAGUUCUUGUAAGUAGUUUGAUUAGUUAAGAUAAUAAUAAUUUAAUGUGUCUUUUUAAAAUAGGUAAGAUAUAUUGCAAUAUUAAGGAACUCAGAGAUUGCGUUUGUGAAUCGAGAGCGGGGCAGCUGACUGCUCCAAGCCUCCGGUGAACGUCCGCGGUAACUCUGACCGUGUUAAAGUAGCGUAAUCCCUUGUCGGGUAAGUUCCGACCCGCAUGAAAGGCUUAACGACUGGAGAACUGUCUCCAGGAUCUGCUUGGUGAAAUCGCAAUAGAGGUGAGAAUGCCUCUUACCUGUGGCUAGACAAAAAGACCCCAGGAGCUUUACUAUAUCCUGGCAUUGAAUUUUGGUAAUAAUUGCGUAGCGUAGGAGGGAGACUUUGAAGCUAUCUUUUCGGGGAUAGUGGAGUCGCCAAUGAAACACCUCUCUUUUAAUAUCAGGGUUCUAACUUUACUAUCUGAGAAGGGUAGUAGAAGACAGUGCUUGGUUGGUAGUUUAAGUGGGGCGCUUUUCUCCUAAAAAGUAACGGAGAAGUUUAAAGGUUGGCUAGAUCCGGAUGGAAAUCGGAUUGGUCCUGUAAAGGGAUAAGCCAGCUUGACUGCAAGACGGGUAUGUCGCGCAGAUGCGAAAGCAGAACUUAGUGAACCGACCAUGGUUCGUAGGACCGUGGGAGAUCAUCAGACAAAAGUUACCCUGGGGAUAACAGGCUGGUAGUGCCCAAGAGUCCAUAUCAACGGCACUGUUCGGCACCUUAACAUAUCGGGGUGCAUUAACAGCAAUGUUAUUUAAGAAAUUGGCUUAUAACGGUGGACUCCAUAGUGAAAAUCAGCUAUAACAUAAUCAUUAUGGACAAUACCGUGGGAAGUCUAACACAAUUACAAAGAUCAUUGAUUAUCGGUUCGGUUUUAGGUGACGGGGAUAUUAGAAUUAUACCUGGUCACAAAGAUGCUUUUUUAGAAAUAAAACAUUUCCUAAAAGCAAAAGAUUAUGUAGAUUGGAAAUAUUCUGUACUAAAGAAUAUUUGCAAUUCCGAACCUAAGGAAAGAGAAACCAAUAAAGGUAGAAUGGCUUAUUGUUUUUUUACUAAACAAAAUAAAGAAAUUACA